rnacentral:misc_RNA from 1 species
UGAAAGCCUCCCAAGCCCGGGCACAACACAAACCCUGGUGCCUCAGGCACCAAGGAACUGCAACAGAGCGAGUGCGCCUCAUGCCGAUUGCACCCAAAACGACUCUCGGCAACGGAUAUCUCGGCUCUCGCAUCGAUGAAGAACAUAGCGAAAUGCGAUGCUUGGUGUGAAUUGCAGAAUCCCGUGAACCAUUGAGUCCUUGAACGCAAGUUGUGCCCGAAGCCAUUAGGCCGAGGGCACGCCUGCCCGGGCAUCACGCAACGUCGCCGCCGCCUCACGCGGGGCGCGGUAGAUGAUGGCCUCCUAGGGGCUCCAUCCCCUGGCUAGCUGAAAUGAUGGCCUUACGCGAUGGCGGCCACGAUCCAUAGGGAUGUUCAAGAAUAGACGUGCGCGCGUUGUCCCACGGGGAGGGCUGAACCCCGAAUCCCACAGCAACCCCAGGUCAGGCGG